rnacentral:piRNA from 1 species
GCAGGUUGGACAGCAGCUCUGAGAAGCAGCA